rnacentral:rRNA from 1 species
UACGGAGGGGGCAAGCGUUGUCCGGAUUUAUUGGGCGUAAAGAGCGUGUAGGCGGCCGCACAGGUCCGUUGUGAAAACUGGAGGCUCAACCUUCAGACGUCGAUGGAAACCGUGCGGCUAGAGUCCGGAAGAGGAGAGUGGAAUUCCUGGUGUAGCGGUGAAAUGCGCAGAUAUCAGGAAGAACACCCGUGGCGAAGGCGGCUCUCUGGGACGGUACUGACGCUGAGACGCGAAAGCGUGGGGAGCGAACAGG